rnacentral:misc_RNA from 1 species
AUAGGUAACAUGGGAGAGUUGCUUGGCAUGUAAGCCAUGUUUGCAACUGCUGGCGCUGCUGCAGUGGCUGAUGUUGGAGUUGCAAAGGAUGGACAGAAAAUUUUUGCUCCUGGAUUGAGUUUGAACUCCUUAGAGCUUUUAGUGGAUUCUGAACUUUGUGGAGAGACUGCAUCAGCUGAAGAAGCCAAUGAACCACAACGUGAUUCUGCGGCCACAUCAACCAAUGCAUUGGAAGCAGUUGAAAUACUUGAACAAACAGCACUUGCAGAAGAGCUGCCUGCAGAAGCAGACCUUCCAAAGCAUUGACUGUCUGGUUUAACAAGUGCAAGCAUUGGAUCACAAGAUACUCCAUUAGGUAACAACUUUGUCAUUGUUUGUCCUUCCUCAACAGCCUUGGCUUCGAUUAUACUUGAGCUUUGAACUUCAUUAUCAUUCUUCUCCCCUUGAAGUUCAGAAUUCUGUUUGUGAUGAUCCUGCUCCCCUUGUGACCCAUUAUCUCCAACCUGCCUUCCAAUAACUGUGGAAUUGAAAGCUUCUUCACUUUUUGAAUUAUUUAUCCUCUCUCUCUUCCCAGGUUCCACUUCUGCGGCAGUUGCUGCAUGAUUUGGUAAAACUUUUCUCCCUUCAUAUUCCUUUCCAGCUUUUGUUGGCAUGCAAACAUUACCAAAACUAUUCCUGUUUUUGGUUGAAAUCCUACUGUUUUCAUUUUUUUUAUCUGUGGCCGACUUGUUAGAUUCUUUUGCCUCACUCACUAUAAUCUCAGAGGAAGGAAUAUUGACCACAUUUCUUUCUACCUCAUCACUAGCUACAUUUCCCAUGGCACCAUCAGCUGGGAAUAGAAUUCCCUUAGCUACAACUUGAACGAGAUCAUCUGAAAGAAUUACAAGCGUUUCUAUCACACUCCCAUUAGCCACAUUUCCAUCACAUUUCCCCUUCUUAAUCAAUUUUGCUUCCUUUAAAAUAAUACCAUAGUCCUUGUCGACAGAAGCAGUGUGGAAAGUUCCAGAAUAGACAGAGCCAUCCCUGACAUGCACAUCAACGGGUAGUCCAAUUAUACACAUGGUAGCAAACAAUAAGGCUUCACUUAAACAAGAUUCUGUUUCAGCCUCUACCCUCUUUCUGUUACCCAUCACUCUCUCUCUCUCUCCCUCUCCGGUGGCAAUUCAAUUAAACUCUCUGUGAAAAGCUUUGUAGAUAUCUACAGAUGCAAAAGAUUUGGCUAAUGGCGCCUGCAAAACCUUGAAUCAAUAGGAAAGAUGCGAGAAGUGAGGAAAUGUCUUCUGUGUCUGUUUUGCGCUGUAACGAAGAUACAGAAGGAAUGGGAAAUUGGGAAAUACGGUUCCUUUCGUGUGAUGUGAUGUGUCUCUGGUCUUCUGUUCAAGGCUGUAACUUCUCAGCAGCU